UCUGGUGACUAUAGCAGGAGGGUCACACCUGUUCCCAUACCGAACACAGCAGUUAAGCCUCCUAACGCCUAUGGUACUUGAGUGGUAACGCUCUGGGAGAGUAGGAAGUUGCCAGAU
rnacentral:rRNA from 1 species